AGGUGAAAUAUACAAGAACCCGACCCAAAUCUCGAUGUACAACAUUCGAAGCGCGGAGUACCAACGCACUUGAGCUUCUUCCAAAUCUAAUCCCUCUCCAAAACCCUCAAUUCACCUUUUCUUCCAGCCACCGCUCUUCAACAAUGGCGUCUCGAUGCAGAACGAUCUCAAGGCCAGCAAUGAGCUUUCUCAAAUCCUCCUUCUCGAAGCCCUCAAGCACACCCAUGUUCUCAGCUCAAUCGCCGCGCCUCUCUCCAUCCCCAUUUUCUAGUCCAUUGCCUCAAAUGGCUAUGCUUCAAUCUCUGUUACCUCUCCACUCGGCAUUGUCGUCGGCUCGGCUAACCUCUUGUCUAGGCAUAGACACCAAGGGCUGCAGAUCUUUGUCUCAGGGUAUGCUCUCCAGUGCCAACCCUGGAGUUUGAUAGAUUUUAUAAUGUUUCUGAAUGUGCUGCAACCUGCCUACCACCUGAUUAGUUAGGCUUCAUGUAUCUACGUUUGCGGCGCUCAAGUUUUGAAACUAGGUCUCUCUGUCCCGCGAUGAGAGGGGAAAUGCAAUAAAGGUUGAAGAAAGAUACUUCAGUUUGAUGGAUCAUGUCUCCCUUUUAGACAAUGUAUACUUUCACAAUUUACUUACAGAGAGAAUCUUUGGCUCAUUUUUGUACAAGCAAAAAUAUCUUCUAUUGCAUGCUGAAAAUCCUGUGUUUUUAGUGUGUUGAAUCAUUGUACUUGUCUUACAAUAUGGUCUCAUUGAUCAAGUUAGUCAUUAGUUUGCUUUUGUUA